rnacentral:rRNA from 1 species
CCCUUAGACGUUCUGGGCCGCACGCGCGCUACACUGACGAAGGCAACGAGCUUUCCUUUACCGAAAGGUACGGGUAAUCUUUUGAAACUUCGUCGUGCUGGGGAUAGAUCCUUGCAAUUUUUGAUCUUAAACGAGGAAUUCCUAGUAAGCGCAAGUCAUCAACUUGCGUUGAUUACGUCCCUGCCCUUUGUACACACCGCCCGUCGCUACUACCGAUUGAAUGGUUUAGUGAGGCCUUCGGAUCCGCGACUCGUUUUGUGGAGAAGUUGGACAAACCCAGUCAUUUAGAGGAGGUAAAAGUCGUAACA